UCAAACAAACAGAGUCAUUCUUGUUUACGUCGUAUCGCUUAUUUUUAACGUUGGUGAUUCGCAAGUCAAGGGUGACGAAUCAACUACUGUUCGUUUGAUUGAAAGUUCGCAAGUUCAUAAGUUUUUUUAUGAUAAGUCUGAUGCAAUAAAAACCUUUUUCAAUGGUUAAAAACGAAAGAACAAGUAAAACUAAAAUAACCAACACAGAAGUUUUGUUUUGAAAAAUUAUUGUUAUGGAUAAAAUGCGUGAUGGCAAACAAGCGAGUAUCAAUGAAACCAGCAUGCAAGACUCGACGUCAAACCGUGUAGAUUUGGAUCCCGGGCUGUAGUCGAUUCCGAUUACAGUAAGUAAAACUGCUCAGAUUAAUUUUGUGGCGAAAACCUACAUGGUUAGUGUCAUUCGGUGCAGUGAAUUGCUGCAUUCAGAAGAUACAAAUUGUCGUGGCUAUGCAUGCGUUCUGGCCCGCAAUCGAAUACCGGUAAAGUGCCCGGAUUCGGCAGAUUAAUCUAACUACGCAUCCGCAAUAUUCGAUGGGUUGCCGGAAUGGUGUGUAUAAUUUGCUUAGGAAGGUGAGGUGGAGAGCAGUUUUUGAGAGAACAUGAUUUGUAGAAAAAUUAAUAAAUUGCAAUUAAUGAUAAA